UUUAAAUGAUAAGAUUAGAUAUUAAAUGUAACAUGACUUUCUAUGAAUAUGUACAUUAUUUCCAUUUUUUAAAAAAUCACACAUGAAUCAAGGUUGUGACUUCUGUUUUAAUAUAUAAGAUAUAUUACAAAUGAGCAAGACCUACAUCUUUCAUGAUGCAUAAAUGAUGGUGAAACCUAGAAGUCACUAGUGAUGGUACUUUCCUUUUCCUCGAAGAUUUAUAUUCUUUGUUAGAUUUGAACCAAACUUGGAACAUAACUGAGAAGAAUUGAGAUAGAAGAUUUGUCUGUAUGAUACACUUCUAUGUAUUUAUCCUCUCCCACAAUGUGUAUCUGUUGUUAGAAAACCUGUUGUUAGAAAACCUGUUAUUACAAGACAAUACAACUUUAUUCUCCUGUCGACCAAGAAACUCAUCCUAUUAUUAGGAUCAGGACGAUAGCAUGCAUCUCUUCCCGACACUUUUACGAACUUACUCCACGAGCUCACUUUUAGUUGCCACCCAUAUGUUUGUUUCAGUAAAUUCAAAUACUUGAGUAGCUAACAUACAAAGCUGUUGCCCUUCUCUACUCACUGAUAAGGCUACAUCAUUGUGAUUAAAAUGACCUUUUGGAUCCUCUGGAAGAGACACUUGGAUCUUCUUUACUCAAACCAAGCCAAUAAGUAUUUCCAUUCACAGACACAUGACCGCAUAUCUUUGAAAUGGACCAGUCUCUAGUUUCAUGAAAAAUCUUCCACGAAUUAGAGGCAAAGUCAUAUACUUCAUACUCAAUGUGAAAUGUAUCCAUCCUCAAGAUUUUGUAACAAGAGGACUUUUUAUCAUAACCAAUAGUAUAAUAGUUAGAAUCCUUAUAAGAAUUUCUAGGUUGAAUCCACAUGGUCUUCCCUGUACAUGGAUUCCAAACCACACGUCUAUUGUCUUUGGUGGUGCAUAGCAAUAAGCCUUCACAGUGAAACACGUCUUGUAUGUCGACUUCUUCAUAAGAACUAGAAAGAUAAUCUCUGAGCCUGAGUUGACUUGUUAUCUUUACAGAUGGACAAUGUUGUUGAACUCCACAUAGAUUGACACUCAAUAAACAAACUCUGAACUUAUUCAACAAAAUAACAAGAGACUGCUUGUGCUUGCAAGGUCGGUGCAAGGUCGGCCCAUGCCUAUAAUAGGCCCUAUUCAAAUUUUAAAUUAAAGGCUUUCUUUGGGAAAAUGGAUUUUUUAUUCCCCAAGUAUUUAAAAUUAACAUUUUUAAUACCCAACUAUGGGUUGCGCAAAUUUAAUCCUCAAGUUCUGGUUGAUUAUGCAAAAUCAGACUUAAGAAGGUCAAUCAUUAAUUGUUUAACGGAGACGUUAAAUAAAGUAGAAAAAUGAUCGAGUUCUUGCUUUCAAAACCCCAGAAAUCUCUAAAUUGAUUUUUUCAUGCGAUUUUGACAGAAAAGAGACUAUUUCCGGCAAGUAGAGGUCGGUUCCAACAGUGGAGAACGUUUGGCGAAAACUGACAAAGCUCAACAGUGUUUUGAUACUGAGAUUCUCUUAAAAGUCUUCAUUUGAAUUGAAGUUAUACAGAGCAGGAGUGAGAAAUAGGUUUUUGUAUGCUCUGUCGUUAAACUACACACAAGCUUUUUCUCAGUUAUUGUAUGAUUAAUUGAAAUGGUGGCAAUACACUUUUAAACCAGGAUAUUGUAAAUUUGAUGCAAAUAUUUUGAGAUAAAUGUUUCUCAAACUGUCAAUGCUUGAACAACAUAAAAAAAGUCUUGUUUAAACAGAAACAGUGAGGAGGCCGUGAAGUAACAACUUAAAGAAGAAAAUCAUUUGCAAAGAGUUUGUACCCCCAAACAAAAUUAAAAUCUUUCGAUCCAACAAAAAAAAA